rnacentral:rRNA from 1 species
CCUACGAGUGGCAGCAGUGAGGAAUAUUGGUCAAUGGGCGGAAGCCUGAACCAGCCAAGUAGCGUGCAGGAUGACGGCCCUACGGGUUGUAAACUGCUUUUAUACGGGAAUAACGCGCCUUACGUGUAGGGCUUUGCAUGUACCGUAUGAAUAAGGGCCGGCUAAUUCCGUGCCAGCAGCCGCGGUACUACGGAAGGUCAGGGCGUUAACCGGAUUUAAUGGGUUUAAAGGGAGCGUAGGCCGCAUGUCAAGCGUGCUGUGAAAUGUCCGGGCUCAACCCGGGCCUUGCAGCGCGAACUGGCGUGCUUGAGUCCGCGGAAAGCAGGCGGAAUUCGUCGUGUAGCGGUGAAAUGCUUAGAUAUGACGAAGAACCCCGAUUGCGAAGGCAGCUUGCUGCAGCGGAACUGACGCUGAUGCUCGAAAGCGCGGGUAUCGAACAGGAUUAGAUACCCCGGUAGUC